rnacentral:lncRNA from 1 species
CUUCCCCGCUGGCCUCAGGGGCGCACACUUGUAUACCCACCUAGGUGGGCGCCGCUGUACCCGGGAAUGCGGCCUGGGAGGGUGGAGCCACGCAGGCAGAGUCCUGGAGGAAUCUCCGUACCCGCUCCACUCGACUUCCGACAUUUUACCUUGGCUAAAAAAUCCUGAAGUCGGUCCUAAAGUCAGCAAACUCAGAGUUAAAGUUUCAGCAAGUAACAGCAAACUAGAUUAACCAUGGCAUAAACAUACAGAAGUCCCCCCUUAUCUGAAAGAUCAAGAAGCUGGAGGUAUUUGUUUAAAAGUUCAACCAUCUCA